ACCCUUAGAUGUUCUGGGCUGCACGCGCGCUACAAUGACAUACGCAGCAAGUUUCCUUUCUCGAAAGAGUGGGGUAAUCUUGUUAGUGUUUGUCGUAUUAGGGAUAGAAUAUUGUAAUUAUUGCUCUUUAACGAGGAAUUCCUAGUAAGCACAAGUCAACAGCUUGUGCUGAUUACGUCCCUGCCCUUUGUACACACCGCCCGUCGCUCCUACCGAUUGGGUGAUCCGGUGAAUGAUUUGGACUCUGAUUAUGCUAGCUACUAGCUAUGUUAGGGAAAACUUUGUGAACCUUAUCACUUGGAGGAAGGAGAAGUCGUAACA
rnacentral:rRNA from 1 species